rnacentral:lncRNA from 1 species
GGAACUCCUCCAGCGUGAUGCAGCCGUCUCCGUCGCGGUCGACUUCGCUGAGCAUCUGCCGCAGCUCCUCCUUGCUCGGAGGUUCGGCGCCGAGCCGGCUCAGGAGCGACUCGAGCUCCUCCUUGGUGAUCUUCCCGUCGCCGUCGCGGUCGAUCAUCUCGAACGCCUGCUUCAGCUCGAAGUAGACGGCGGCGGAUAUCUCCGUCCACUCCUCCGUCGACAUGCCGGCGGAGGUCGAGGGGAGGACGCUGGUCGGCGUGGAAAGGCCGGCCGGCCUCUUGAGGCCGCCGUCCUCAGAGGAGGAGGAGGAGGACGUCGUAUGGGAGCUGAAGGACGACGGCUCGGCCUCGGAUCUGGAAACCGAGCGCGAUUUCUUCGAUC